ACUGAACGGUUGAUUAAGCUUUUGGCUUCGUCUGGAUUUGUCUUUGUUGGCACAGCAAAUUUGUAACAAGAUUGUGUCUAAAAUGAAUGAGGCACCACUAAUACCAUGAAAAGGAGCCUAACGGAAACUAUUUUGGCUGGCAGAGCAAAGAGCUACAGAAUACAAAAGGUCCUGCCCUGGCAGCUCACCACUCCAUUGACAGACAAUAGUUGGUCGCCUCUCUUGAGACCCCCAUGCCUCUCAGCCACGCCCCCUGGGAUGAUGCGGGAGAUGUAGAUCGGUGAGUUCUGCUCUUUUCCGCCCAUCACAUUGAAGCCAAGCCCCUCAUCUGUCUUGGGUAGUUCCACCACCCGCGGGUGAGAAUGACCCUCACUUGCUGCAAAUGCUGCCACUGUGGCCUGGUAAUAACAAAAGAGUUCAAAAUA